GCAAGUCGAGCGAACUGAUUAGAAGCUUGCUUCUAUGACGUUAGCGGCGGACGGGUGAGUAACACGUGGGCAACCUGCCUGUAAGACUGGGAUAACUUCGGGAAACCGAAGCUAAUACCGGAUAGGAUCUUCUCCUUCAUGGGAGAUGAUUGAAAGAUGGUUUCGGCUAUCACUUACAGAUGGGCCCGCGGUGCAUUAGCUAGUUGGUGAGGUAACGGCUCACCAAGGCAACGAUGCAUAGCCGACCUGAGAGGGUGAUCGGCCACACUGGGACUGAGACACGGCCCAGACUCCUACGGGAGGCAGCAGUAGGGAAUCUUCCGCAAUGGACGAAAGUCUGACGGAGCAACGCCGCGUGAGUGAUGAAGGCUUUCGGGUCGUAAAACUCUGUUGUUAGGGAAGAACAAGUACAAGAGUAACUGCUUGUACCUUGACGGUACCUAACCAGAAAGCCACGGCUAACUACGUGCCAGCAGCCGCGGUAAUACGUAGGUGGCAAGCGUUAUCCGGAAUUAUUGGGCGUAAAGCGCGCGCAGGCGGUUUCUUAAGUCUGAUGUGAAAGCCCACGGCUCAACCGUGGAGGGUCAUUGGAAACUGGGGAACUUGAGUGCAGAAGAGAAAAGCGGAAUUCCACGUGUAGCGGUGAAAUGCGUA
rnacentral:rRNA from 2 species